GUUAGCCAUCUUGAAUUGUUAGCGUGAAAAGAAAGCUAUUACAUUUAUUGGAUAUUUUAAUAUGAUGAAUAUUCUAGUAACACCUGGCGCCGUGACCUGGAUGCAGAUUCUAAGCAGAUGGGCCAAAAUGGGGGCAGCUGGAGAGACUCGCCCGGAACUGACAAGCCUGGAGGAAGCUGGUUGGCGAGAUGGGACAACAGGCGAAGAAUGUUUUUCAGUUUCGUCGGAAGACGUUUCCCACCAACCAACCUGUCUUGAAAGAAAUAACUUUUGAACCCGAUUUUCUGUUUCUCCUCACAACAAUUUGCAUCAAACCUCUUGUCUGCUCCUCAGCUGAAAUCAUCAUGUAGCAGUCACAAUAGUUGAGCGGUUGGAGAGGCAUGCAUUGUGUCCUACUACCUGCUCAGACUUUAUCAUGUUUGGCAGAUAAAACAUGCUGAUCAAAAAGAAUGUGUACCACAGGGGCGAGUGUUUCCAUUUGAGUGAUUGACAAGAAGAAGAGAUGAGAAAUGUUAUCAUCAUAUUUUACACUCUACAUUUAUAGUGUACAGCUCAAUGUAUUGAACUGGUGUUGUAGAAAAUAAUUGGAGAUACAUGCAAACAUUAUAACAUUAUAUAUAAGAUGAUAUUUCAAAAGCAAUAAGAAAGAAAAAGUAUAAAAAGGUCAAAACAGUAGACCUUGUGUUUACAGUGGACAGGUUUAAAGUGGAAGUGACUAGUUAACUGUUGAUCAUAAGCUGCACUGAUGGAAAAAAAUAGUGGGAAAUUACUAUCUAGAAAACUGUUUAACGUACGACAACAGUUGUGGAACUUUAUAAAUGACUGUAUGUAACAGGGCUGGGCAUUUUUCCUUAUAUAGCUAAAGUGAAACCUUUUGAACACUAGUGAAGUCACUGUUUUUUUCCAAUCUUCAUGCAUUUUGGUCGAAUAUUUAUUCAAAUGAUGGCUCAGUCCAGUUUCGAAAUUUUUAUGUCUAUUCAAAAAACAUAUCCACUAGAGCGCGAGGCAAUUGUCUUUAUAUGGCUAUAAUGAAACCUUGUAAACUCUCUAGAAGUGACCUUUUUAGCCAUAUCUCCAUAAAUUUUGGUCAGAAUAUUUAUUCUAAUGAUAGCUCAGUUGUCGAGUUCGUAACUGGUUCCAGUUUGUAGACUAACAUGGCUGUCAGUGGACAUGACAGUUUUUCAUCAAUUGCUAGAGUAGAACCUUGUUAACACACAAUUGGCCCUUUUUAUGUGCAUUUUUCAUGAAAGAUGAUAAGAGCAUUUUGCCCAAUGUAAUCUCAGCUGACUUUCAAACUGGAUCACAUAACGUCAAAAAGUGGGUCAAAAUGUCAAAUUAAAAAAAGCUUGUAAACACUGGAAGUUGCAUUUGAAAUUGUGUUCCUUUUUUAAAGUUUGUCAAAACAUUUGCUGUAAUGAUAAGCAAAGUCAAGUUUAUAAAUGAUUAUUUGCCUACAAAUUACAUAUUUUUCAUCAAGUACAUUUAUUAUUCUAAACUACACCUUCUCAGAAUAGUUUAGUUCCUUCUGGUCACAGUUGAGCACCUUAGGGCUCUUGUUCUAUAAUUUGAUUGUUUUGGAAAAUUGUCAUUUGCCAAAAUGUGAGCAAGUCCAAAUUUUAUUAACCCUGCUUUGUAGUAUCUUGUUUUCCUUAUAUGUAUAAAGUGGAAAAUUAUCUAUGAAUGUGACUGCAUAGAUAUUUGGUAUUCAGCAUAGCAUCGUGUAAAUGUAGUAAAACUAAACACAAUUGUGUCAUCAUAAAACUGGCCAUGCCGUGGGGGUCAAAUGGUUAAUACAGACUUGUAGGAAAAAGACUUCUAAAAAUUUUAUCCGUUAAAUAUAUUUUUUGUACAUAAUGAUUAGCUUUUUCCUUCAACUUAU